GGUUUACCCAAUUAAACC
rnacentral:snRNA from 1 species